rnacentral:lncRNA from 1 species
CGGUCUGUCCCCCUCCUGCAUCUGUGUGAUCCCAGGGGUCUGUCCCCCUCCUGCAUCUGUGUGUAAUCCCAGGGGUCUGUCCCCCUCCUGCAUCUGUGUGUAAUCCCAGGGGUCUGUCCCCCUCCUGCAUCUGUGUGAGAUCCCAGGGACCUGUCCCCCUCCUGCAUCUGUGUGAGAUCCCAGGGGUCUGUCCCCGUCCUGCAUCUGUGUGAGAUCCCAGGGGUCUGUCCCCUCCUGCAUCUGUGUGAAUCCCAGGGCUGUCCCCUCCUGCAUCUGUGUGAAUCCCAGGGCUGCCCCCCUGUCCCCCUCCCCUGCAUCUGUGUGAGAUCCCAGGGACCUGUCCCCCUCCUGCAUCUGUGUGAGAUCCCAGGGGUCUGUCCCCUCCUGCAUCUGUGUGAGAUCCCAGGGGUCUGUCCCCUCCUGCAUCUGUGUGAGGUCCUGGGGAGUCUCUCACAAGGGGCACAGAAGGGCCCUGGGCAUUGCCCUCACAGGUCAGGCACGUGCCUGUGGCAUUCCACUCGUCAUAAAAACUCAGCACAAAAGCACCGCCCAGGACCUGUAGCUAGAUCAUUCUGGAAGCUCUUGAUGUUUUGAGUUCUUCUCCUCUGGGGUAGAACACACUUCUUUCAACUUGUCCUAACCUUCUGUCUUUCAGUGCUCAACAAGGACAGGGAGCCCUCCAACACCUGAAGUUGGAGUUCUGGUUUAACGGCGUGGACUCCAUGCUGCUGAGGCAGGGUGGGUGGAGGAGCGAGGCCAUCUUGACACCGUGCCCGGGGGAAGCCCUCACCGAGGUGCAGCACGGGCACCUAGGGAACGCCUUACCAUGGUGUAGCACGGGCCGGCGCCCGGGGAAGCCCUUACCGUGUGUAACACAGGCCAGCACCCCAGGGAAGUCCUCACCGUGUGAACACAGGCCAUCGCCCUGGGAAAGCCCUUACCAUGUGUAGCCCACCAGGCACCCCAGGGAAGCCCUUACCGGGUGUCAUGGGCUGAUGUACCGGGGAAACCCUUACUGUUUAUAUAGCACAGGGCAGCAACCCAGGGCAGCCUUCACUGGGUGUAGCACAGGCCGGCAACUGGGGAAGCCCUUACCAUGUGUAGCA